rnacentral:lncRNA from 1 species
CCCACCUGGAGGGGAAGAGCUCCCUGCUGUGUCUGGCCUCAGCCAUGUUUCCUCCUCUGGUCCAGUUCUCCUGGAAAAGACGAAAGGAGAAUGGUCCUCUGGAGGAUCUGCUCCCUGAUGAGGGAGAGCAGCUGGAGAUCAGAGAGUCAGGACGCACCGCCUCCAUCUUGCUGAUCAAUCAGCAAAAGAGCAGCACAUAUAAAUACCGCUGCUACGUCCAGCACGAGGGGGGGACAGUGGAGGCCCAAACAGAACAAGAGGAUUCUACUCUUCCACCAUCAGCUUCUGUCCUGUCUCAGUACCAAGUGAAGUUGUUCUGUCUGCUGUACACACAGCUGAUAGUGAAGAGUCUGGUGUACUGCUGUGGACUCUCUCUGCUGAUGAUCCUCAGAAACAAGGGACCGUCCACCAACUGAACACAUGCUGACUGACUGUUUUCUGCUCGACUUUUCUCGCCAUCAAUUCAUCUCAUUUAUCACUUUAAUCAGUUUUCACAAAAGCCACGCAUGUUGUGUUGUAGUUGUCACCCUAACCAUAUAAAGACAUAUAUAUCUUAUUCCAUGGUGUUUUUUGAUACUAGUUUAUUUCUAUUUCUAUUUUCUAUUUUAAUUGUGACUUGUAUAUUGAUAGAUAAUUUGAUUCAUCAGCUG